AGCGAACGCUGGCGGCAGGCUUAACACAUGCAAGUCGAGCGGGCAUCCUUGUGGUGUCAGCGGCAGACGGGUGAGUAACGCGUGGGAACGUGCCCUUCGGUUCGGAAUAACUCAGGGAAACUUGAGCUAAUACCGGAUACGUGCGAGAGCAGAAAGGUUUAUCUGCCGAAGGAUCGGCCCGCGUCUGAUUAGCUAGUUGGUGAGGUUAUGGCUCACCAAGGCGACGAUCAGUAGCUGGUCUGAGAGGAUGAUCAGCCACACUGGGACUGAGACACGGCCCAGACUCCUACGGGAGGCAGCAGUGGGGAAUAUUGGACAAUGGGGGCAACCCUGAACCAGCCAUGCCGCGUGAGUGAUGACGGCCUUAGGGUUGUAAAGCUCUUUUCUCCGGGACGAUAAUGACGGUACCGGAGGAAUAAGCCCCGGCUAACUUCGUG
rnacentral:rRNA from 1 species